rnacentral:rRNA from 1 species
CUACGGAGGAUGCAAGCGUUAUCCGGAUUUAUUGGGUUUAAAGGGUGCGUAGGCGGAUGAUUAAGCGUGAGGUGAAAUGCCACUGCUCAACAGUGGAACUGCCUCGCGAACUGGUUGUCUUGAAUGCUCCUGCCGUGGGAGGAAUGUGUGGUGUAGCGGUGAAAUGCAUAGAGAUCACACAGAACACCGAUUGCGAAGGCAUCUCACGAAGGGGUGAUUGACGCUGAGGCACGAAAGCGUGGGGAUCAAACAGGAUUAGAUACCCAGGUAGUCCACGCAGUAAACGAUGAUAACUAACCGCUGGGUCGUAGUGAUUCAGUGGCCAAGCGAAAGCGAUAAGUUAUCCACCUGGGGAGUACGACCGCAAGGUUGAAACUCAAAUGAAUUGACGGGG